rnacentral:lncRNA from 1 species
UUUCUUUAAUCUACAGCAAUUGGAGCAGAUCCAGAAGGAACUAAGUGUUUUGGAAGAGGAUAUUAAAAGAGUGGAAGUAAGAAAUCAAGAAAUCCUCACCUUUCUCAUCGUUUUAUUUUAUCUUUAAUUAACAGUUCAGCUGUGCAAGGAGACAAAGUCUGAAUACUUUCUUCAAGAUAAAUUGUAAUCUAAAUUUAUAUUGACAUUUAUUAUAGUAAUUUUUGAUUAAAUGGAACAAAAUUUGGCCUAAUUUUCUAUUUGUACUCCAAUUAAUUUAAAUAAUUUACUGCUAAUCCUUCAUUAUUUCCUUAAAAUGAUUGAUCAUUUUCAUCUUUUAUUAAAUUUAUUUUUACAAUCUACUGCAUGUAUUAACAUAUACUAAUAUUAAUUAAAAAUAUACUAAUGUAUACUAAUGUUAAUUAAAAAUGAUAUAAAGACAUUGACACUAUUGUUGGAAUUCAUAAUAAAGUUCAGAUUACUUACAGAAAUUCAUUGGGAGAUUCAGAGGCUAUUGUGGGUUGAGGUCACUACAUCUGGCUAAAUUUAAAUUUAGUGUUUUUUGUAUUUACACAUGUGAUUUUCUUUUGCUGACAUUAAGAAGAAACAAAGGAUAAUGAAUGAUGUAGUAUUUAAUCAGAAUUCAGUAUCUCUUAUAAUAUUACUGAUUUAUUAUAUUUACAUUACCCGUUAAGCCAUUUUGAGCUAAGGCAGAAGUAACUUUACCUGAUUAUGUAUAUCUAUAGUUUCAUUUUCAAAUUUGCUAUUUUUCCACUGAUGAGAACAUUCCACAUAGAAAGGCCAGUCAUGAGAUUCAGAGACAUAGUUUAUAUGAUUCUCUUUGAUUAGCCCCUUUAGGUUAAUGAGCAAAAAUUAGAAUUUAUGUCAUUGUUGGACAAACUCAGUAUUUUAUUCAAGAAUGCUACUCUCUUUUUUUUUUUAAUUACUUGUAGAUUACUCCUAGAGAGUGACAGACAUAUUCUCGGUUUUUGUCAAUUAAUUUGGAGAUUUGACUGUUGGAAUCCAGUCACCAUCUCAUCUUACUUAUCCUAGUGUCCACUAAUCGAUCAUCACUUGUAUGAAUAGUUCACUGUGUAAAAAAUAUACUGUGUCCUCUUUGAUAUAUUUCUUUUUGGCUUUUUCUUCAUUGGAUGCUUUCUUUUAUUAGAACAGGAUUUAUAUUUUUUUAACACUAGGCAAGACUUCCUUCUAAAUUUCAGAUUAACUUUAUUUUUGUAUUCUAUGGAAGGGAAUCCUUGAGAGGUUUGAUAAAAAGCUGUGGCUAGAACUGAAUGUAAUGCCACAUGCCUGUUUGAGUUAUGCAUCUGUUGUUUGGAGUAUGUACAAUAACUCAUAGAAUUACAAUUUCAGGAAAUGAGUGGCCUCUACUCUCCUGUCAGUGAAGAUAGCACAGUGCCUCAAUUUGAAGCUCCUUCUCCAUCACACAGGUACAAAGCUUUUUAUCAGUAAUUGUUUGGGAUUUUGUAUUCGGUGUUCAUGGUACUGUAGUUCUCAGGAGCCUUGUUAAUGAAGACUGUGACAUGACACCACUGAGAAAAAGGGUGCAGAGAGCCAUUUUUGUUUGUUUGUUUUGUUUUUCGAGACAGGGUUUCUCUGUAUAGCCCUGGCUGUCCUGGAACUCACUUUGUAAACCAGGCUGGCCUUGAACUCAGAAAUCUGCCUGCCUCUGCCUCCCGAGAGCUGGGAUUAAAGGCGUGAGCCACCACGCCCGGCUUUUUUUGUUUUUUGUUUUUUGUUUUUUUGUUUUUUUGUUUUUUUUUGGCUUAAGUUAGUAGGUAGAUGUUGCAGUGUUUUAAAUUUAUACAUGGAUUAAAAGUUUGAGCUUUUUGAUGUCUUUUAAAUUAAUGUCAGAUUUUAAAUCAAAAUAUGGAAACAUAAUAUGGUAAUAGUAAGAAAAGUAAGAUAAAAAACCUUGGCCCUCGCACAUGUCUGUAAAAAUCUCAACACUCAGGAUGCAAAUGUAGAAAGAUCUCUGUGAGUUCCAGGAUAGAUAGGAACACAAAGACCCUGUGUUGAAAUGAGGAUGAAAUAAAAAUUUAUUCCAACUCACUGUAAUUUUGGUGGUUGGUUAUUUUUCCCAGCUUUAAAAAUGAAAGCAUUGGAAAAACUUGUUUGUUCAAGUCUUCCUACUUUGUGUUUUUCAAUCUGUCUCUCUGUCUGUCUGUCUGGUUCUCAUUAUCUGUCCUGGGCUGGCCUUUCUGCUACAGCUCAACUUGCUUCCCAAGUGCUAGAGUACUAGUUUUACAAGGUGUGUAUCUCUAUAGCUGGUAUAGCCGUUUUCUUGAUGGUGUGGGUGAGUAUGCUGGUUUGUAGAGGAGGCUAAGGAAUUCUUAAGUUGCCCAGACUCGUUUCAGACUCCUAGUCCUUUCAUCUCAGCAUUCAAAGUAGGUGGGAUUUUGUACCCACACUACCAUGCCUAUCCUUGUAUUCUUCCUAGCUUGGGAGAUGGAAGCUUGAGCAUUAGGAGUUCAGAAUCGCCCUUGGUUACACAACCAGUUCAAGGCCAACCUAAGUUACAUAAGACCUUACGUCCAAAAAUCAAAAAUAAUUAAACUUCAUCCUAUAAAUUAUUAAAUCCUACCAUCAUUACAGCAAGGAUUAUGUUAUGUGUAAAAUAGUUAUAUAUCUUUUACCCCAACUAUAUCCUUAGAUUUUAGAAAUAGCUUCAUUUGACUAUAGAAUACAAGAAAUAAAUGUGAUACCUUUAUCUGUCAAAUUUAUUUCGUUUAAUAAGUGCUGUCUAAAUUUUGGACUUUGACAUUUUAUGCUUAAAAUAUUCAAUACGGGCAACAGCCAAAUAUGCUAGUAAUUCCCCUGUUUCAUAACUGUUUUAAUAAACAUCCUAAAGGCCAGAUGUGUUAUCUGUAAGCCUGUCAUUCACUUUCUGAUGCUUGCUGUCCUUGGCAACAGGGCUGGGGUUUUUCUUUUGUUCUUUGGGUUCUGUUUUGCUUUGUUUUAUUUUUUGUUUUGUUUGUUAGUUUGUUUGUGACUGAAUACAGGGAAAUUGUUCAGUAUCCCAAACAUUUCAAUAGUAAACUGGUAAUCCAUUCCCAAUUUCAUGUCACUCCCUUUAACAGAAAGCAUUGUUUAACUAUUAUAAUAUUAGUGUAUUAGAUUUUAUGAAUCUUGAAGAUUAUAUUUAUUGAAUGCCUCUCAUUAGAGAUCAGGAAGUUUUUUGUGUGUGCUGCAUCUUGAUGACAAAGUUUGUGCCUUUAUGGAGAGAUCCUAGUUGUCUAACAGUUAGAAGUACAUAAGCUAAAUCUGGAGCCUUCAGGAGAAC